AAAAAAAGGAAGAUUUCUUCAGUAUCUGAAAACUGUUACUCUCGUGAGGAGAGAGGGUUCCUGGUUCUUCUUUAUUUUCUGUGUUCCACAUGGAGCUGGAUCCCACCUGAGGGUAUCAAGUGAUAGUGGAAAACUUCUGACCUCACACCUGCCUCCUGCCUCCCUGGGACCCACUGAAGGAUUUCUGGGCCUUACUCCUUAUGUGUCUAUUCUGAAGAAGACAGGCCCCAAGGCACAGUGUCCCAGACAACAGAAACACAGACAUCAGCAGACUCUGAAGAAAGAGGCACCCAAGGAGAGCACACCUGAAGUCAUGAAAUAGUACACUGACAUCAUGGAGGGGACGGUAGGGACAUUGCACUCAGCCUUUGAGGAGGCAGAUGGAAAAUGGAAAGAGGAAGACUGUGAAUAGCAGCAGGAAGA